GGUAAGACGAGGGAUCCUAGCGUUGUUCGGAAUUAUUGGGCGUAAAGCGGGUGUGGGUGGCUAUGUAAGUCAAGUGUGAAAGCCUGGGGNNCAACCCCAGAAGUGCAUUUGAUACUGCGUAGNUNNNGUGCUAGAGAGGAUAGUAGAAUUGUUGGUGUAGUGGUGAAAUACGUAGAUAUCAACAGGNANUACCGGGUGGGC
rnacentral:rRNA from 1 species